rnacentral:misc_RNA from 1 species
UUUAACUUCAAUCUUUUUAUUCUUAAAUAUUUUUCCUACAAUUUUGCAUUCUCAUUCUGUUAUUUAGGUACCAAACGCACCCUUGGUUUUAGCACUGUGUGAGAUUAUCAUCCAUCUUUAGUUCUUGUUCAUUUAUAAGUCUUUUCAAGCAUAUCUAAUCUUAAGUCUAUAUCAUGACUAAUUUUAGAUGUUUUUGAAAUUUGGAUUGCCAGAUUUACGUUUUGAUCUGUGUUACCCUUCUCAAACAGGAAAAAUGGAACAACUCUUCAAGGCAACAUCUAAAUG